UAGCUCACUGGUCGAGUCGGCCUGCGCGGAAGAUGUAACGGGGCUAAACCAUGCACCGAAGCUGCGGCAGCGACACUAUGUGUUGUUGGGUAGGGGAGCGUUCUGUAAGCCUGUGAAGGUGUACUGUGAGGUAUGCUGGAGGUAUCAGAAGUGCGAAUGCUGACAUAAGUAACGAUAAAGCGGGUGAAAAGCCCGCUCGCCGGAAGACCAAGGGUUCCUGUCCAACGUUAAUCGGGGCAGGGUGAGUCGACCCCUAAGGCGAGGCCGAAAGGCGUAGUCGAUGGGAAACAGGUUAAUAUUCCUGUACUUGGUGUUACUGCGAAGGGGGGACGGAGAAGGCUAUGUUGGCCGGGCGACGGUUGUCCCGGUUUAAGCGUGUAGGCUGGUUUUCCAGGCAAAUCCGGAAAAUCAAGGCUGAGGCGUGAUGACGAGGCACUACGGUGCUGAAGCAACAAAUGCCCUGCUUCCAGGAAAAGCCUCUAAGCAUCAGGUAACAUCAAAUCGUACCCCAAACCGACACAGGUGGUCAGGUAGAGAAUACCAAGGCGCUUGAGAGAACUCGGGUGAAGGAACUAGGCAAAAUGGUGCCGUAACUUCGGGAGAAGGCACGCUGAUAUGUAGGUGAAG
rnacentral:rRNA from 1 species